AGGAUGAAGAAAACUCUGAGCUUGAAAUCAGAAGUGAAUGAAGCUGUGGAGAUGAUAGAGUUAGACAACUCUCCUGAUUAUGAGAACGUCGCUGCUGCAGCACAGACAGAAGACACAGAGGAGCAGGAAGACCUGGUGUGAAGCCUCAGGUGCACUGUGAUUGGUUGAAAGUAUUUAGGAGGGAACAGGAAGUCUCUCUCUCUCCAUCCCCGGUUGCAGCAGCAGCAGUUUGUACA